CGCAAUUAUUUAUACAAAAUUGAAAAAACGAUCCCCAAUUUCAACUCUGAAUCUCUCUGGAGAUUGGAUCGGUUACUGAAUCUCCAUCUUCCCCAUAGUGUUCGAGCUUUAACGAUCCUCCUAACUUCUCAGGGUUUCAGGGAGAAAUUGAGAGAUGGAUUUGGUGAAUAGCUACAAGGGGGUUGUAGGCCUGGUUUUCGGCAAUGAGAAAUCUUCGUCUUCAAAUGAAGAUAGUUAUGUUGAGCGAUUGCUGGACUGUAUAAGCAAUGGGAAGCUGGCAGAGGACAGGAGGACUGGCUAUGGUGGAGCUUCAGUCUGUUGUGGCUGAAAGCUCUGGUGCUCAGCUGGUGUUUGGAGCAAUGGGAUUUCCUGUGAUGAUGGGUGUAUUGAGAGAAGAAUGCGACGAUGUUGAAAUGGUUUGGUUCUGUUUCUUGCAUCAAGAAAGCUCAAUUCUUCUUGCUCAAUUCUUCUUGAUUCACCAAGCAUGAUCCUCCGGCGCAACACAUCGAUGAUCCUCGACAGUCAUCUCUUUGUAUAAACAAAUGAGUCUGGUAGGAAUCUAUUCGAACGGGCCUGUUCCGUCGAAUAAAGAAUCAAUAUCAGAAAGAAGUUUGAAAGUUUGCCGUUGGCUCAUGAAAGUUUGAAUCAUCACUUGAAGAAGCUUAAAUGGGAGAAAUUCUUCAUACCGGCAAAAAAGUUGAUUUAGAGUGUGUCCAGAGACAAAAGCAGACUCAGAAGGGUAAGGGAAGAAGGGUAAGGGAAAAAGCUAAAUGAGAGGGGAGAAAUUGUUCAUGUAUUAGAAAGUUGUUAUAUGCUACCGGCUGAAAAAGUUGAUUCAGAGUGUGUCCAGAGACAAAA